GCUUAGCAAAAUGUCAUUCGUGACUGUUGGCGUAAGGAGAUAGCUCUCGUGUGCGGGCGAUUUACGAACGACUUUUGUCAUUCGUGCCAAGUUUGAUAAUUUCUGCCUCGCGUGCCAAAAUCUUUCCGUGUGCGGCGAACGAUAGCUAUCUGCUUACGGAUUGUCGUAACAGCGCAUGCGUAGUAUACGAAAGUAAACAUCCAAGAUGGCGGCGCAAAAUGAAUUACUGGCCGAGGCAAUUUUAGAGGACAAACUUACUGACUAUUUCUUUCACCGCACAUUCCCUUUUGUCCCUAUUUCUAAAAUCUGCAGAAUUCACAUCGUAUAAACAUUUAUAUUCAGGCCAAAGUUCGACAAGUUUGUCCUCUAAAAUUGCCUCGGCCAGCAAUUCAUUUUGCGCCGCCAUCUUGGAUGUUUACUUUCGUAUACUACGCAUGCGCUGUUACGACAAUCCGUAAGCAGAUAGCUUUCGUUCGCCGCACACGGAAAGAUUUUGGCACGCGAGGCAGAAAUUAUCAAACAUGUUAGAUAUUUGGCGUAAGUGGC